rnacentral:rRNA from 1 species
UGGGGAAUUUUGCACAAUGGGGGAAACCCUGAUGCAGCGACGCCGCGUGAUUUAGAAGGCCUUCGGGUUGUAAAAAUCUUUUCUAUGGGAAGAAAAUGACAGUACCAUAGGAAUAAGGACCGGCUAAUUACGUGCCAGCAGCCGCGGUAAUACGUAAGGUCCGAGCGUUGUCCGGAAUCAUUGGGCGUAAAGGGUACGUAGGCGGGUAAGCAAGUUAGAAGUGAAAUCCUAUAGCUCAACUAUAGUAAGCUUUUAAAACGGCUCAUCUUGAGGUAUGGAAGGGAAAGUGGAAUUCCUAGUGUAGCGGUGAAAUGCGCAGAUAUUAGGAGGAGUACCGGUGGCGAAGGCGACUUUCUGGCCAUAACCUGACGCUGAGGUACGAAAGCGUGGGUAGCAAACAGG